CUGCUUCCUCUUAUCCAGUGUUAAUUUUCUCAUUCCGAAAAGCAGGAAUGACCAUAAUCGGCCUCUUAAGGUGGCAUGACGAUGACAUCAUUGACACGAAAAGCGUCUAACAUCGCUGGGAACCCAGCAGGUACUCAGUAAUUCUAGCCACUUUUAGCCCCAUCCAGGAUCACAUGGUGGCUCCCCCAGGGACUUUGCACCCAGUCGCGAGGACAGAAGCAGGUGACAAGUGUUUGUCACACCGGCAGGCACUGAGCUGUGAGACAGCCAGACCUGGUGGCUGGCGUUUCAUCUCAAAGCAUCUCCCUCUUCUGCGGGACGCAGACACCAAUAAAAGACAGGCUGUCGCGCCCGCUGCGUUGUUCCCCGUGUCCCGCGCUCUCGGUUUCAUGUGCGGCGACAAGAAGCUCAUUUGUUGCCCGUCCCCCCCCCGCCCCGUUCACGUGGUGCUGGUGAGGCACCCCCAGAAUGUCUUUUGUCAUCUGCAGCGUUUUCCAGGGAAGAGUUCAAAGACGUGGGAAGUAAUGGAAAUACUGUGAAAAAUAUUGAAAAAGUCUUCCCGGCUGCAGGGAACGUGGACUGUCACUCUUCAGAACCCAAAGGCUCCCCUGCGAUGUCCCGCUUUCAGAGUCUCUGUUUCACGCGAGCUGUCCCGAAGCCACCACACGCGGUACGGUGCCAUUUUCCUGACACACUAUUGGGUGGCUGAGCACAGAGCUGGGGACAGGUGCCCAAACCCGCCGUGACCCCGGCGUGGCUGUGGGGCUCCCAGGCCUCUGUAGCUAAGCUGUGCCUGUGAAUGUCUUCAAUUCUAGUGUCUGGCACCUGUUGUUAGGAGAAGUUGUUCACUCUGUUGGCGUUUGUGAAUCUGAGACUUUUAGAAGUUUCUAGAACAUAGGCCUUGUGGGUCUGAAGGGCCUGCCUGAUAUCUGGCUAUGAUGUGACAGCACCAGGUCACAGAGGCAGGGGGGGCACAGGCAGGGCCCCCCGCAGGCAGAGCCCCCGCAGCAGGGUACAGGUUCGGGCACCAGAAAGCUGAGCUGGUAGGAGUCAGGGACUCCUCUUUCCUUCCCUCCCAGAAAUCCAGAAAUAUCAGAAUGGGCCGUGAAAGGAGCUCAUUGGCAUCUAUUGCCUCGAUCCUGUUUAGUCUUUUGUUUUUCUUUUAAGUAGGCUCCACACCCAGUGCAGAUUCCUACCCGGGGCUUGAACUCGUGACCUUGAGAUCAACACCCGAGCUGAGAUCGAGCGGGACUCUUAACUGACCGAGCCACCCAGGCAUCCCAAUCCUUAAAAGCGCUGAUGGGGAUGUUAAAAUCUAAGAACCCUGGAGCUGGAAGGAAACUGGUCCAGUGUGUUCACAUUGUUGAUGGAGAAACUGAGGCCCAGAGCGAAGAAAGAACCUACCCAGGGACACAGGGCCCUGGUGGCAACACUGGGGCGGAAUUCUGGUUUGCAACUCUGUAUCUUCUCCCACAUCCUGCCGCUGCAAUGAACAUUCCAAGAGGUGCUGACUGUGAUCUAGAUGUAUUCAUUCCGGGCACACAAAUGCUUCACCCUCUGUAGUAUUCUCGGUUAGGGUCUCGAACGCAGUUCAAGGAGUUAAUGCCUGCGGUUGGUUAUGUGCCUUAAACUCAGGACCACCUAAUCUUGGUGGCUUAAAGAGAUUAUAUUACAUAUUACUAUUAUCUGUA